rnacentral:rRNA from 1 species
GCCAGACUCCUACGGGAGGCAGCAGUGGGGAAUAUUGCACAAUGGGGGAAACCCUGAUGCAGCGACGCCGCGUGAGUGAAGAAGUAUUUCGGUAUGUAAAGCUCUAUCAGCAGGGAAGAAAAUGACGGUACCUGACUAAGAAGCCCCGGCUAACUACGUGCCAGCAGCCGCGGUAAUACGUAGGGGGCAAGCGUUAUCCGGAUUUACUGGGUGUAAAGGGAGCGUAGACGGUGAUGCAAGUCAGAAGUGAAAGCCCGGGGCUCAACUCCGGGACUGCUUUUGAAACUGUGUAACUGGAGUGCAGGAGAGGUAAGCGGAAUUCCUAGUGUAGCGGUGAAAUGCGUAGAUAUUAGGAGGAACACCAGUGGCGAAGGCGGCUUACUGGACUGUAACUGACGUUGAGGCUCGAAAGCGUGGGGAGCAAACAGGAUUAGAUACCCCAGUA